rnacentral:tRNA from 1 species
GGCCCAAUUGUCUAGUGGUUAAGACGUAAUGUUUUCACCAUUAAAACGAGGGUUCAAGUCCCCCUUGGGCUA